rnacentral:rRNA from 1 species
UACGGAGGGGACUAGCGUUGUUCGGAAUUACUGGGCGUAAAGCGCACGUAGGCGGAUUUGUAAGUCAGGGGUGAAAUCCCGGGGCUCAACCUCGGAACUGCCUUUGAUACUGCAAAUCUCGAGUCCGGAAGAGGUGAGUGGAAUUCCUAGUGUAGAGGUGAAAUUCGUAGAUAUCAGGAGGAACACCGGUGGCGAAGGCGGGUCUCUGGGCCGGAUACUGACGCUGGAGGAGCGAAAGCGUGGGGAGCGAACAGG